rnacentral:rRNA from 1 species
AUUGAACGCUGGCGGCAUGCUUUACACAUGCAAGUCGAACGGUAACAGGGUGCUUGCACCGCUGCCGAGUGGCGAACGGGUGAGUAAUGCAUCGGAAUGUACCGUGUAAUGGGGGAUAGCUCGGCGAAAGCCGGAUUAAUACCGCAUACGCCCUGAGGGGGAAAGUGGGGGACCGAAAGGCCUCACGUUAUACGAGCAGCCGAUGUCUGAUUAGCUAGUUGGUGAGGUAAAGGCUCACCAAGGCGUCGAUCAGUAGCGGGUCUGAGAGGAUGAUCCGCCACACUGGGACUGAGACACGGCCCAGACUCCUACGGGAGGCAGCAGUGGGGAAUUUUGGACAAUGGGCGCAAGCCUGAUCCAGCCAUGCCGCGUGUCUGAAGAAGGCCUUCGGGUUGUAAAGGACUUUUGUCCGGGAGCAAAUCCUAGUGGUUAAUACCUACUGGGGCUGAGAGUACCGGAAGAAUAAGCACCGGCUAACUACGUG